GGGGAUUUAGCUCAGUGGCAUAAGCACCUGCCUUGCAAGCAGGCGGUUGUGAGUUCAAUCCAUGGUGCUCA
rnacentral:tRNA from 1 species